rnacentral:tRNA from 1 species
GCCUUUGUGGUGUAGUGGUCAGCAUGCUCGACGCGUAACCGAGAGGUCCGUGGUUCGAGUCACGGCGGAGGCG